rnacentral:rRNA from 1 species
GAUGAACGCUGGCGGCGUGCCUAAUACAUGCAAGUCGAGCGAACAGACGAGGAGCUUGCUCCUCUGACGUUAGCGGCGGACGGGUGAGUAACACGUGGAUAACCUACCUAUAAGACUGGGAUAACUUCGGGAAACCGGAGCUAAUACCGGAUAAUAUAUUGAACCGCAUGGUUCAAUAGUGAAAGACGGUUUUGCUGUCACUUAUAGAUGGAUCCGCGCCGCAUUAGCUAGUUGGUAAGGUAACGGCUUACCAAGGCAACGAUGCGUAGCCGACCUGAGAGGGUGAUCGGCCACACUGGAACUGAGACACGGUCCAGACUCCUACGGGAGGCAGCAGUAGGGAAUCUGCCGCAAUGGGCGAAAGCCUGACGGAGCAACGCCGCGUGAGUGAUGAAGGUCUUCGGAGCGUAAAACUCUGUUAUGAGGGAAGAACAAAUGUGUAAGUAACUAUGCACGUCUUGACGGUACCUAAUCAGAAAGCCACGGCUAACUACGUG